rnacentral:tRNA from 2 species
GCUUCGGUAGCUCAGUUGGAUAGAGUACUUGGCUACGAACCAAGGGGUCGGGGGUUCGAAUCCUCCCCGAAGCGCCA